rnacentral:rRNA from 1 species
GACGAACGCUGGCGGCGUGCCUAAUACAUGCCAGUCGAACGCUUCUUUCCUCCCGAGUGCUUGCACUCAAUUGGAAAGAGGAGUGGCGGACGGGUGAGUAACACGUGGGUAACCUACCCAUCAGAGGGGGAUAACACUUGGAAACAGGUGCUAAUACCGCAUAACAGUUUAUGCCGCAUGGCAUAAGAGUGAAAGGCGCUUUCGGGUGUCGCUGAUGGAUGGACCCGCGGGGCAUUAGCUAGUUGGUGAGGUAACGGCUCACCAAGGCCACGAUGAAUAGCCUACCUGAGAGGGUGAUCGGCCACACUGGGACUGAGACACGGCCCAGACUCCUACGGGAGGCAGCAGUAGGGAAUCUUCGGCAAUGGACGAAAGUCUGACCGAGCAACGCCGCGUGAGUGAAGAAGGUUUUCGGAUCGUAAAACUCUGUUGUUAGAGAAGAACAAGGACGUUAGUAACUGAACGUCCCCUGACGGUAUCUAACCAGAAAGACACGGCUAACUACGUG